rnacentral:rRNA from 1 species
UACGGAGGGGGUUAGCGUUGUUCGGAAUGACUGGGCGUAAAGCGCGCGUAGGCGGGUCUUUAAGUCAGGGGUGAAAUCCUGGAGCUCAACUCCAGAACUGCCUUUGAUACUGAGGAUCUUGAGUUCGGGAGAGGUGAGUGGAACUGCGAGUGUAGAGGUGAAAUUCGUAGAUAUUCGCAAGAACACCAGUGGCGAAGGCGGCUCACUGGCCCGAUACUGACGCUGAGGCACGAAAGCGUGGGGAGCAAACAGG